rnacentral:sRNA from 1 species
GAUGGCGGCCACUGUAGUGGCGCCGCCUGGUGUGGUGGUUAGUCGGGCCAACAAGCGCAGCGGCUCGGGGCCGGGAGGCAGCGGUGGCGGGGGAGCCAGAGGGGCGGAGGAGGAACCGCCGCCGCCCCUACAAGCAGUUCUGGUGGCCGAUAGCUUCGAUCGCCGCUUCUUCCCCAUCUCCAAGGACCAGCCUCGGGUCCUCUUGCCCCUGGCCAACGUGGCAUUAAUCGACUACACUCUGGAAUUCCUGACUGCCACGGGUGUACAGGAAACAUUUGUCUUUUGUUGCUGGAAAGCUGCUCAAAUCAAAGAACAUUUACUGAAGUCCAAGUGGUGCCGCCCUACAUCUCUCAAUGUGGUUCGAAUAAUUACAUCAGAGCUCUAUCGAUCACUGGGAGAUGUCCUCCGUGAUGUUGAUGCCAAGGCCUUGGUGCGCUCUGACUUCCUUCUGGUGUAUGGGGAUGUCAUCUCAAACAUCAAUAUCACCAGAGCCCUUGAGGAACACAGGUUGAGACGGAAGCUAGAAAAAAAUGUUUCUGUGAUGACGAUGAUCUUCAAGGAGUCAUCCCCCAGCCACCCAACUCGUUGCCACGAAGACAAUGUGGUAGUGGCUGUGGAUAGUACCACAAACAGGGUUCUCCAUUUUCAGAAGACCCAGGGUCUCCGGCGUUUUUCAUUUCCUCUGAGCCUGUUUCAGGGCAGUAGUGAUGGAGUGGAGGUUCGAUAUGAUUUACUGGAUUGUCAUAUCAGCAUCUGUUCUCCUCAGAGACGGGGUUUUGCCAUGUUGUCCGGCCUGGUCACGAACUCCUGAGCUCAAGCAAUCUGACCACCUCGGCCUUCCAAAAUGCUGGGAUUACAGGUGGCGCAACUCUUUACAGACAACUUUGACUACCAAACUCGAGAUGACUUUGUGCGAGGUCUCUUAGUGAAUGAGGAGAUCCUAGGGAACCAGAUCCACAUGCACGUAACAGCUAAGGAAUAUGGUGCCCGUGUCUCCAACCUACACAUGUACUCAGCUGUCUGUGCUGACGUCAUCCGCCGAUGGGCCUACCCUCUCACCCCAGAGGCGAACUUCACUGACAGCACCACCCAGAGCUGCACUCAUUCCCGGCACAACAUCUACCGAGGGCCUGAGGUCAGCUUGGGCCAUGGCAGCAUCCUAGAGGAAAAUGUGCUCCUGGGCUCUGGCACUGUCAUUGGCAGCAAUUGCUUUAUCACCAACAGUGUCAUUGGCCCCGGCUGCCACAUUGGUGAUAACGUGGUACUGGACCAGACCUACCUGUGGCAGGGUGUUCGAGUGGCGGCUGGAGCACAGAUCCAUCAGUCUCUGCUUUGUGACAAUGCUGAGGUCAAGGAACGAGUGACACUGAAACCACGCUGUGUCCUCACUUCCCAGGUGGUCGUGGGCCCAAACAUCACGCUGCCUGAGGGCUCGGUGAUCUCUUUGCAUGCUCCAGAUGCAGAGGAAGAUGAAGAUGAUGGCGAGUUCAGUGAUGACUCUGGGGCUGACCAAGAAAAGGACAAAGUGAAGAUGAAAGGUUACAAUCCAGCAGAAGUAGGAGCUGCUGGCAAGGGCUACCUCUGGAAAGCUGCAGGCAUGAACGUGGAGGAAGAGGAGGAACUGCAGCAGAAUCUGUGGGGACUCAAGAUCAACAUGGAAGAAGAGAGUGAAAGUGAAAGUGAGCAAAGUAUGGAUUCUGAGGAGCCGGACAGCCGGGGAGGCUCCCCUCAGAUGGAUGACAUCAAAGUGUUCCAGAAUGAAGUUUUAGGAACACUACAGCGGGGCAAAGAGGAGAACAUUUCUUGUGACAAUCUGGUCCUGGAAAUCAACUCUCUCAAGUAAGAGCAGCCCCUCCCUGUUCUCCUCGGGGUGAUCCCAGGAAGGUAGAGGCUUUCUCGUAAGUGUUUUGUCUCCAAAUAGGAACCUAUUCCUUUGACAUCCCAAAUGGAAAGACCAGUAGUAUUUGGAGCAAGGAGAGCAUUAUUAAGUUCUAGCCUCAGCAUAGACUUCCUCCUUCCUAAACCCUCCCCUUCCGUAUUGUUCCAUCCAAAUUCCUCUCCAAUGUCUAUCAAAGUCAUAGUUCUAAGCCUGCUGAAAGGCCAGUGAAGGCCCUGGUGUCACCCCAGUCUCCCCACAGGUAUGCGUAUAACAUAAGUCUAAAGGAGGUGAUGCAGGUACUGAGCCACGUGGUCCUGGAGUUCCCCCUGCAACAGAUGGAUUUCCCGCUUGACUCAAGCCGCUACUGUGCCCUGCUGCUUCCUGUGAGCAAAGAUUGGAGCUGAGUACAAGGGUUUGGGUACAGGCAAAGGAAAUCAGGAGUAGACUGUCUUGUUGUAUUGGGUGUAUGUCACUUCUGGUUCCUUUCUCCUUGCCUCUGGAAGCUGGCUGGGCUCUAGAGCAGCCUUGGCUGGUUCAGAGGUGUCAGGUUGACUUCAAUACUGACUGGCCUUUGAGACGCCAGGACUCAUACCAUCCUAGGCCCACAUAGGUAUACUCAGAAUGGACCUGGACAUUCAGACUCUAUGGCAGCAAUUUGACCCAACACAAGAUCAGCCUCUGGGGUGGGAAUAGGUAUUUUGAGGCAGCCUAUAGCAUCUGAUCCCCUCUCACCUUCCCUAAGGAAUCUCUUCUUCCCAAACCCUGUCAACAACUCCCAAGUCCCUCUGACAUAAUUCCACAGAACCUGUAUCAUCUCCCUCUUGUCCACCCAUGUCAUUAAUAUGGAUUUGCUUGGAUGUCCAUGUAUGGGUGAAUGCUCAGGAAUAUAUUGCAGCUCCCUUCUUUCUUCCAUAGCUGCUCAAGGCCUGGAGCCCUGUUUUUAGGAACUACAUAAAGCGUGCAGCCGACCAUUUGGAAGCGUUAGCAGCCAUUGAGGACUUCUUCCUAGAGCAUGAAGCUCUUGGUAUUUCCAUGGCCAAGGUACUGAUGGCUUUUUACCAGCUGGAGAUCCUGGCUGAGGAAACAAUUCUGAGCUGGUUCAGCCAAAGAGAUACAACUGACAAGGGCCGGCAGUUGCGCAAGAAUCAACAGCUGCAGAGGUUCAUCCAGUGGCUAAAAGAGGCAGAAGAGGAGUCAUCUGAAGAUGACUGAAGUGACACUGCCUGCUCCUUUGGGUGUGAUUGAGUGACCUCCUGGCUCCUGGGCUGAGACAAGUGAGGAACUAGCUGCAGAGGGAUGAGUGACCACCAUCCAGGUUGAGACUGAAAGGAGCAGAGGCUGGAACUACAGUAUUCUUUCCCCUGCUAGCAACCAUGUGCCUCCCAUCCUGACUGUGGAGUUGGGAUGUGGGAAGUGGGGCUGAAACAAAGCUUCUGCCGAGGGAGGAGCUAAGCAGGCCCUGCAGUUGGAGGAAGGCCAGAGGAACAGCUUUGCUCCGGCUUUCCCUCAGGGAACAGCAGAGAGCAGUUGGCUCGCUCUGCUGCUUGUACAUGUUAAUAUUAAAAGAGAGAGUGGUGUA